rnacentral:rRNA from 1 species
AUCUCAGUUCGGAUUGUGGUCUGCAACCCGACUACAUGAAGCUGGAAUCGCUAGUAAUCGCGAAUCAGAAUGUCGCGGUGAAUACGUUCCCGGGCCUUGUACACACCGCCCGUCACACCAUGGGAGUCGGAAAUGCCCGAAGUCAGUGACCCAACCUUAGGGAGGGAGCAGCCGAAGGCAGGUCGGAUGACUGGGGUGAAGUCGUAACAAGGUAAC